CAGAGUUUAGAUAUAGCCCCUCUGAGUAUUCUUAUUUUAUGAUAUACAGGAUGCUGUAUUUUUGAAUUUGGUAAAUUUCCACUCACUUUGUGUUUAGGUCUCCCAGGAUCUUGUUCUGUAAUAUUGAAGAAAAGCUACUUGAUUCCACUGAGUUUACGUGUAAGCUAUGGCAUUCUUAUAAAUGUUGACGUGGGCUACUCUAGAGAAGAAGCAAAAGGAGACACUCCAUGGAAUAGUCAGCAAUAGCAGAUGCAGACGUUGAAGUGCAAAGAAAUGAAAUAAUUGCCCAAGGUCAUGGAGCUAGAAUGCAGUGAAGCCAAGCUACAAAUCUAGACUCUUAAGCCCUUUGCUCCCAAGUCUAUUAAUCUCUGCUUCCCGUAGGAAUCUCCAGCGAUAAAACAAGCUUAAUUUAAACAACUAGGGAAACACCUUCCAAUGCGCUAAUAAUAUUACAAGUAAAAAGGCUAUAAGUGCUCCAGGAAAGUAGAAAAUCAAUAAA
rnacentral:lncRNA from 1 species